rnacentral:lncRNA from 1 species
UAGUGGUUUAAAGAUGACACACCAUGUGAUUAUUAUUAUUAUUAUUAUUUCGUACUAAAAGUAAUUGACAUUUUCAUCGGUCCUUAGUCUGGUUUUCUGUGUUUUUAAGGGUUUAGGUUUUUUUCUUUUUUUUUUCUCUGUUUUUAUAAAUCAUAAUUUAAUAGUAAUAAUUAAUUGCCCCUUCAUGACUUCUUGCGCGGUAGGCAAUAACUAUCUUUUUUUUACAUAAAAUAUUUACUUUUUCUUUAAAGUUAUUGGUAAACGGUAAUAUAUAAUUUAUUUGACUAUCAUAAACAUAUCAUGUUAAGACUUUACAAUCACUUGUGUGUAACUUGAGAUUUGGUAACAUUGUUCGUGUUUGCACGAAAAAUUCAAAUAAACUUAUUCAUCAUUUUUUAAC